GCCCCGGUUGAUUAAUGGAAAUCACCCACACAACGUGCGAGUGAAGCAUGAUUAAUGUGGGAGACGGAGGUUCGAAUCCUCCCCAGGGCA